GUCUACGGCCAUAGCACCUUGAACGCGCCCGAUCUCGUCUGAUCUCGGAAGCUAAGCAGGGUCGGGCCUGGUUAGUACUUGGAUGGGAGAAUAACGUACAGUAACCA
rnacentral:rRNA from 1 species